rnacentral:lncRNA from 1 species
GACGCUGGUUACAUUGCUCGCGAAUAUAGAUAUGUGAUUCAGACACAUACAUGGACCUAUAUUCUCUGGAUCAUUUUAACUAAAUGAACUGAGCUCACUAAAAUAACAGUCUACUGUGUGUUCCUUGACAAAUUGGUGAUUAGUGUCCUUAAGAAGCCAUCUUAGCGGAGACAAUACUGGAUUGACUUGGACCAAUUGCCUAGAUAUUCAACAUAAAACUUAAAGAAAAACAGUGCUACUAUCACUUAGGUCAGCUAUUGAAGUCCUGCUCUGCAACUAUAUCUUUGCUAUGCAAUCAUGUCUUUGCACAAAAAAAUGGCUUUAUCAAGUUUACAUAGCAAUCCCAUACUGAAAGAAGGCAGCAGCUAUUUAGUUUGGAGCACAUCCUUUGUCACUCUUCAAAUUUCUUUCACGUAAAAAAGAAGUCAGUCAGGUGACUUCCAAACUAUCAAAAGAGGAAAUACCAAAACGAUAACAUGUCAAGAGAACUUGAACGAUCUAAGCACACCUAUCAGAAAUUCUUCCAGUUUGAUUGUUAGAAUAUGUGGUAGCGGCUUCUGGUGAAGCUUCUUCAUUCAAUUUCUACCAAGAAAAGCAUCGGAAUGAGUAGAGAAGAAAGUUCGCAAGAGGAAAAGAACCAAAAUUUAGGCCACACAAUCCUUAUAUUCACAUCAACAGAAGGAUUAAAACAUUGAAACGACAUCCGGCCUUUUAUCGCUCCUAGAUGGGGAUCAACUUCUUCAACAACAGUGCUGCAUAUAAAAAUAGCCAUACAAUUUAGAAAAAAAGAAUUGUAAAUGAAAGAACAAACAAAUCAGAAGAUCAGAAGAUGGUAAAUUAGCAGCCAUUCAACUGUGAACUCAAACCCCACAUGUUUAUGUACGGUUAAUUCAGUUGAAAGAAUGGAUUUGACAAUAGCCAUCCACGCAUUAAUAAACAAGAAUAAGACCCAAUGAUUUGUACGUUGAAAACACUUGCAAGGGAUAAAACAUUGAUCAGUCAAAAUACAAUAUAAAUCCAGAGUUUAUACAAGAUGACUAACAACCCGAUCCAUGCUUUUACCUAUUCACUUUGUUUUCCACUUCUCAUGGUUCUGACUUCGCAGACACCAUGAUUCAAACUGCUUCCCGGCUCCAUAAUACAAGCAGCAUUUGAUGGUAUCUAGUGCAACUACAUGUGUGGUUUUAUAAUGAAGUAAAUCAAUCAUGAAACUUCAUUGACUUUUUCCCUCUUCAAGAUCUAGUUCAAAUAUAGAGGAAAGAAUGAAUUUCAAGAGAAACUUUGAACAAACAAGUGAAGGGUUCUCUAAAAAGUGCACAGAAUAUCAGCGGAAAUGAUAGUGUACAGCAUGCCAACGGAAAUAAGAUUAGGUCUCUCUCUCUCUCUUUCUCUCAAAGCUCUAAAUAUAGAGGAAAGAAUGAAUUUCAAGAGAAACUUUGAACAAACAAGUGAAGGUCGGUUCUCUCAAAAGUGUACAGAAUAUCAGCGGAAAUGAGAUUUGGUUCCCCUCUCUCUCUCUCUUUCCACACACACACACACCACGCAUACAUGUAUGUGUAUGUAUCGAGACAGAAUUCUAACCUAAGUCAACUAGACUUCAGCUAAUCGCUCAAGCACUGAUGGGGACCAGUCUGCAGUUCACAAAGAACCAAACACUUUGCAGUGUCUUAGAAAAAACAAAAGACGCCUCUUAGAAGGGCACUGAGUUGAACGGGCUCAAAUAGGCCCACAUCAAGAAGCGUAUGGUGGAAUGUGAUGAGCAAAAACUACAAGCCCGUUCAAGCGGCCUUUGGAUGGGCACCGAGUCGAACCUCAAAAAACAUGCUAAAGUCCUUUUUUAGAAGCUAAAAAGAAGAAUAAGUGAAUUAUGACUCUUAGAAGGUGCCAAUUUUAAUGCAAUUAUGAAAGCAAGUGUCCCAAUUAUAUGAAAUAGGCAAUGGCAAACAUACCUGAAUAUAACAGCACAAUGUCCUCAUAUUUGGGUGCCAAUUCGUUAGACCAAACACUAGUUCUAGUCUACCAAGCGUCCAAGCCCAUGACAAAGAGGGCUGGAGUAGAGGGAAGCAAGGGAGGGGUUUCUUCAGGGUUGUACACGAAUAUUAGUUGGCUGUCUCCUCCUUUUCUUCUUUUACGUUUUUUUGAGCCUGCUUGAGGCCUCAGCUCAUGUGGAGGUUCUUCUCAGAGCCUUGCUUUUUGUAUGUGGAUAGUGCUCCUCUGGAGUGUUCUUUAAUGUAAACAAUGAUUUUGUUCUUAAGAGAAUUUAAGCAAAUAACUGGGACAUGUUUCCAAACUCCACUGUAUUUUAUGUUAGUAAAGAAAAAGGGGAGAGCUAAUCUUGACAUAGAGUACAAAUCAAAACUAAAAAAAACGAAGAAAACAUAAAUCAGACGAACUAUAGUGCUAUUUAGAAACAUAGAUGACAUUAUGGAUGGUUUUAUUCCACAAUAACUAAUCACAAAAAACAGCAGGGAUUUUUUCCUUCAUUUUCUGCAAACACUUUGUUGGGUUCCCAGCCAAUUGAAGGCCCAAACCCAAUAGCCCAACCAUGAAGGGCCAAGCCCCCAGCCUUUGCCAAUUCCUUACAUUCAUUCCUCUUCCAGAAGCCGCCAUUUCAUUACAAAUCAAGCACGUCUCUGAUUUUUAGGCGGAGGAAAGAAAGUAUGGCAAGAGAGAAACUGUCAACAAGAGCUGUCGAAGAAUCUCAAUGGAGCAUGUUGAUCUCAAGCCGUGAGCUCAUCGUCUCUUCUUGGUGGCCUAUAAAUACAUAGUGGGUGCAGAGAAAUGUAAGGGGUUGGGGGCUUUGUUGGGGGCACACAGCAGAAUGGCGGUGUGCAGAGGGGCUGGGGGAGUACUAAGUGUGCUAGUGAGAGCACCGAGAGCACAGAGAGAUGUGGUAGAGAUUGGGCUAGAAUUGGGUAGCUGUGAGAUCUUCCAGAGAGACAGUGAGAUGGUGAAGAUGAAGAGUGGUGACGAGGUUGAGUGGAGAUGAGCUCCUCCCUAUUGUACUCAUUGUAAUUCAUUCGGGUGAUAGUGAAUUAUUUGUUCCCUCCUGGAUGUAGGCAGAUUGGCCGAACCACGUAUUCUGUUGUCUCAUGGUGUGUGGUUGAGUUGUUGGUAUAGUGACUGGUAACUCGUUUUGGGCACAACAAUUGGUAUCAGAGCCAAGUUCGAGUCAACCGGAGAGUCACCGGAGUGCCACCGACAGUGCAUCUUCGAAUUCUGAGCAAUUUCGAAUUGCUCAAAAUUAUUUUUUGACGCAUACCAUCAGAUUCUACUCUUCAAUACGAAGCUCCAGCAUCAACGGAGUCAAUCGACUCCAAACGAGCCCUCACGCGCCGCCUGAGUUUCGGCGCGUCAGAUCCACUCGCGGCCCACGCGCCCCACGCGCUCCAAGAAGAAGACGAGUGGUGCUUAUGCGCCCCCCAUGCGUCCGCAGAUUGGUAUGUUAAAGAAUGUUAAAAUGGAGAAACAUAAUUAGAAAAAAGGAAAAAGGAAAAAGAAAAAGUAAAUUGUUUUAUAAAGGAAAUGAUUAUGUUGGAAAGCCAUGAUGAUGUUGGGGCUGGUAAUUUCAUUUUCAAACAACCAUCCAGACAUGUUGUCCCGUCAUGAUGCUAUGAUGACAUGGUUGAACCAGCCAUGUGACCAGCAGCAUUGACAGACCGUGACCGCGUUACCAGUUAAAUGUUGACGUUGACCAAAAAAGUAAAUUGCACUGUAGCCGGACUUUCUGUUAAUUACAGAUUGCCAAAGGAAAAAUUGGUCCAUGUUGACCAGCCAUGUUGACCAGCCGCAUUGACCAGCUGUUGACCGCGUGGACCGUCAACGGUUGACCGUUGACAAAAAUAAUAAAUUGCACUUUACAGUCCUGGAGUUUGGGAAUUGCAAUUAGGUCCCUAGGAAAUUGAAAAAUUCCAGUUUAGUCCAUGAACGUUUGAUUUAAUCAAUUUGGAUCCUAAAAAAGAGUCUGAUGUUUCGACGGGAAAAACACUUCUGAGUUUUCUCGGCGUUCCGGAUCAUCUGCGAGAUCGGUUUUUAGAGAUUUGCUCCAUUUUGGAGAAGUAAGAAAGGCGAGUAAUUUGAGAGGCCCUGAUCAAGUUUUCAGAUGCGGAUUACGCCCCAGGAAAACCAAUAAUGAGGAAUGAGUUGAACAGGAAGAUGAUUGGGCAUCAUCAGACCAAGGCACAUUGGACACGAGGUGUUCAAUCAGUAGAACGAGAGGACGAGUGUUACAAAUUCAGAUAAUGCAUUGAAACAGGGGUGUUCCAACAUGUAGCACGAUGAGACGAGUGCUCAUGGGUUGUGGACCAAAUGGGGGAGAUGUACCGGGAGAAGACAUCUCAGAACAAAGUCUUAUUGAGAAGGCUGGUUGAAGCCUUCAGGAGAGGGACUACAGAGACGGAACAAACGAGACGAGUUCCAGAGAGCCACGAGAAGAGGUCAAAAGAAGAGGCCAGAGAAGAGGUCAAGAAAGGAGAGAGAAGAGGUCUGUCAAGAAGAAGAUAUCGGCAAAUGAAGGCAGAUGGCAAAAUCCAAGAGAGUCGCACUUUAAAGUGCUUUUAUGGCGACCAGGAGGGACAGAAGAAUUGUCCAAGGAACAAAAGCACCGAUCAGUCUCAGAGAUCAGCAACAACAGCAAUGAUGGCUGUGGUGAGAGGAUGUUCUCCUAGCAGGCAUCUUGCAGAUGAAGAAUCAGAUUGGAAUCUGAUUCAGGAAUUGCUUACCACUUGGCAGAGACGAGAGUUGUUCUCACAAUGUAGCAUGCGAGGGAACUGUCGGAUGGCUAACGACGCGAUGUUGGCCAAGGACAGUCCGUUCCGCAUGGGUAGUAGAGGGAGAUCCAUGAAGGUGACCGGGGUAAGGCAGUUUCAUUGAAGAUACAGGGUCGAAGCGAUGUGAAGCUUUGAAGCUAGUGGAGGAAACACCUCAGAGUUUCCAAGGGAAACAGGAGAAGCUGCAGGAGAAGGAAGACUGGAAGGCCUAUACCGGACUGACGGAGAAUGUCCAGAAGGAGUGCUGAUCGACAUGAGGUCCAGUGCGUAUUAGCAAGGAUGAAGGAGGAGAAGAAGCAAACGUUGCACAGAUGCAUGCCAAAAAGCAAGCGCAAGGCAACCAUAAGGAUGUACUUGAAGGAUCCAGAGUGGUUAUAGGAGCGCAGAGGAUGACUGCGGUUGGGAUACCGUGGCGAAAAGUCUGGCCCGACACGAAGAAGGUGCAACCAGUGCAGGAUGUCCAUCCCAUUGAGAGCUCAGAGGAGAGAAGACAGAGUAGAUGUACAGCGACAGGGUGACGUCGCCGGAACGAACUCUUUCGCUCUAGAAAAAGUGGCGGUGAUCUCUCCAGUUGUGCACAUAAGGGAGGAGAGAUAGAGUCACGAAGAUUGCAAAGCGAUUGUACUUUGCAGCGCACCCGGUGGAGGGGGAGCAAUGGCCCUAAGUGAGAAGGUGAGACAGGCACUUCGGUUAGAAGUGCAUAUCACUCGGGAGACAGGAAGUGGAGUUGCCCGUGAGAGGGGGGGUAACGUAUCUCAGAUACUGUCUGUCAGAUCUUACAGGGGGAGCUGGACCAGAAGUUGUCGGGAUGAAUAACUUGAAGAAUUCAGAGUACCCUCCAAUGGGCUGGAAGGGGGGAGCUUGUUGGGUCCAGCCCAAUUGAAGGCCCAAACCAAAUAGCCCAAACCCAGAAGGGCCCAAGCCCAAAGCCUUGCCACAUUCCUUAACAUUCAUUCCUCUUCCAGAAGCAGCCAUUCAUUACAAUCAGAGACAAAGUCUCUGAUUUUAGCGGAGGAAGAAGUAUGGCAGGAGAGAGAAACUUGUCAACAAGAGCUGCCGAAGAAGUCUAAAUGGAGGCAGUUGAGCUCAGGCCGUUGAGCUCAUCGUCUCUUAUUGGUGGCCAUAAAUACAGAGUGGUGCAGAGAAAUGUAAGGGGUUGGGGGCUUUUGUUGGGGGCACAGCAGAAUGCCGUGUGUGCAGGGGCUGGGGGAGUGCUAGUGUGCUAGUGAGGCACCGAGAGCACGAGAGAUCUGGCAGAGAGCAAGAGAGUAGGCUUAGAAAUGGUAGCUGUGAGAUCUGAAGAGAUAGUGAGAAUGGUGAGAGGAUGAGAGAGUGCUGAGAGGUGAGUGGAGGAUGAGCUCCUCCCUAUUGUACUCAUUGUAAUUCAUUCUGUGAUAGUGAAUAUUGUUCCUCUCCGUGGAUGUAGGGCAGAUUGGCAGAACCCCGUUAUCGUGUCUCAUGUGUGUGGUUGAUGUUGGUAGAGGACGGUAAACUCGUUUUGGGCGCAACAAGCUUCACAUUGUUGUAAGCUAUAAAUAAAAAAAGGACAUAAUUUUCAAAAAAGACAAUUAUUAGUUAACAUUAUUUUUUUGACAAGGGGAAGUGGCAUUGUUGUCAGACGUCAUUUUGGAUUGUUGAUUCUUUACUUAAAUAGAAGUGAAUAGGAUUCAUAGUAUUUAAUCAUUUUUUCUUUUGAUAAAUACAUCAAGAAACUAAAGACAGUGAAGUAAGUCCAAGCUAUGAGGUUACCAUCCUAGGCCGGAACAAGUUAAUAGAAUCCCCAUUUCUAUGUACCCAUUCUCCUCUUGCCAAAUUAUUUCGUCUAUAUUUUGGGAGAUAUUACAGAAAUUGUCUCACCUAAACAAUGUUUACGCAAUUACAAAUCACAACAUGAACUGAUAACAAAAUAAAGGCCCAAAAAUUAGUAUUAAGUUGUACUUCAAGAAUCGAAAUAGUAACAGCCCUACAGUAACAAAGAAUGUAAUAGAAAUCGAAAACGAAGGAAAAAAUUGCCAUUUUUUUAAGGUAGCAGAGGAUGGGAAAUUCCCAUCAGGUAUGGACUCUUCUUCAUUCUUACAUUGCUCUUUUCCAUGAACUGCCCUUCGCAUGAACUGUUGUUUAAAAUUCCAAAAUUGAGUUGAAGGGUUCCCAUACACAAAAUUAUGCGCUUGAAAAGUUUUUAACUGAAAUUUUGUAAAAUUAAAGAAUGGCCAGACUAGACUAAUUCAAGAAAAAACCAGUUCAAAUUCUAAAUAGCAAAGCGUGGGUAUUUGCUCAUUGUUUUACCUUCAAGUUCCUUAAAGUACUGGAUAACUCACGCUUGGCCAUUGUUGUUGUAGUAAAAAUCUGGGGACGAGCAACCAACAGUCAGAAUUGCUUUUUAAACUCGGUAUUGGACCUCGGCAAUGAUUUAGGCGAUCUGUGCAAGGGAACAAACGUAACCGGACGGGUAAGGCCACUCAAAACUCCUCCGGUGUAAAGAUCAGACCAAGGCGAAUAUAAGAUCGGCUAAAUAAAGUGCCAGAGCUCUCAAAACGAAAUUUCAAGGGUCUAGUCAUGCGAUUGCAUGAGCGCACCUUUUUUUGGUAGUGGGAGCAUCAUUUUUAUAGUUGGAUAAUGGAGAGCCGUGUGAGAAGAUUAUGGCGAGAUCCUCGGAUAGAUAAAUAUGGAAGAUCCCGUGAUCGUUGGAGAUAAAAUAGGGAGAUGCCAUUUGGAGAGCAAACCGCAACUA